CCUACGGGUGGCAGCAGUGAGGAAUAUUGGUCAAUGGGCGGAAGCCUGAACCAGCCAAGUAGCGUGCAGGAUGACGGCCCUACGGGUUGUAAACUGCUUUUAUACGGGAAUAACGCGCCUUACGUGUAGGGCUUUGCAUGUACCGUAUGAAUAAGGACCGGCUAAUUCCUUGCCAGCAGCCGCGGUAAUACGGCAUGUCCGGGCGUUAUCCGGAUUUCUUGGGUUUAAAGGGAGCUUAGGCCGCAUGUCAAGCGUGCUGUGAAAUGUCCGGGCGCAACCCGGGCCUUGCAGCGCGACCUGGCGUGCUUGAGUCCGCGGAAAGCAGGCGGAAUUCGUCGUGUAGCGGUGAAAUGCUUAGAUAUGACGAAGAACCCCGAUUGCGAAGGCAGCUUGCUGCAGCGGAACUGACGCUGAUGCUCGAAAGCGCGGGUAUCGAACAGGAUUAGAUACCCCAGUAGUC
rnacentral:rRNA from 1 species